UCAAAACAGCGGACUUCGGUCCUUGCUGCACCCUUGUCUUUUGCGCACCGUAUUGUUUCCUCGGUGGGCUUGCCUGCCGGUUGGACAUUAUCAAAACCUUUUUGUAGUUGCAAUCAGCGUCAGAAAAACAAUAAUUAUUA
rnacentral:misc_RNA from 1 species